GGUCAGCAAGCACAAGCACUGAAGGGCCUGGUCUUUCAUCAGCGUCUGCAAGAGCAGAAGAGCCCUGAGACUCUGUGUGGAUUCCUUUCCUGGGAAAGAAAUCAGAGGAUAUCAGGCACAGACACCAGCUGCUAGAACAAGAGAAGGAACCCAGAGGCAAGUGGAAAUCCACUGUGCUGAGUGCUGUAAGGACAGCUAGAGACAGGCCCUGUCCCAGGCAGCAGAAGAAACAGCAGCAAGCUUCUAAAA